ensembl:lncRNA
AUGGAGAAAUCAAUUAUUCUGUUGCUCUGGGUACAAUAUGUUGUUAAGAUCUCAAAAAGUUUCUGUUUUGUGAAUAAUCGAACAACAGUUGUUAUUGAAUGGGAUGAAUUUCCUAAGGGAAGAAGUCCUGGAUUUUAUUUUUUAAAAUACCAACUUGUUAAUGAUUUUGCUGAAAAAACUAUCAAAAGCAUUCUUAUAAACCCACAAGAGCUUUCAAAAGCAAUAACACUAGAAGAAAAUGAAGACUAUCACAUUAUUCUACAGUCCAUAAAAUAUGGACAAAUUUUAAGUGAAAAGUCAUUUAAAACCCGUGGUUUCUCAACUAGCAAUAUUAAAACAGUAGCAACAAGUACGAGUGUUUCUUUUAACUGGAGUGUGCUGUCUUCCAAUGACAUUUCAGUGUCAAUAUCUCUCAAUAACUCUUCACAAGUUAUGCACAAUAAUGUUACAGUUUAUGAGUGGGAUAAUUUAAAACCUGCAACCUUAUAUACUUUUAAAUUUGAACUUAAACAGUUGCAUUUGGAUUUUAUAAAUAUAUUUCAGAGACUGGAUGUUCAAGUAGAAACAGGCUCAUGUUCACCAGGAUGGAUAGCAUUGAGAAAUAGCUGUUAUAAAAUUAGCAAAGAGAGUAAGCCAUGGAAUAUAGCCCAGCGACACUGUAGAUUAUCCUUAAGUUCUGCACACCUUGUGGAUAUAAAAAAUGAAGAGGAAAAAAAAUUUGUAUCUUCACUUCUCAGGUCAAAGAAUCAAAUAAUAAUAUGGACUGGUCUUAAUGAUUUGAAGAAAGAAGGUCAUCUCACGUGGACAGAUGGAUCAUCUUUUGGCCUUAAGAAAAAUGAAAUCUUUUCUUUUCCAUUGCUACCCAAGAAUGAAACAGAUUGCUAUGUUUUACAGCAAAAUGCAUCUGGAUCAAACUAUUUCUUCACAAGAUUUUUCUGUUAUGUUCCAUUGCCGUAUAUUUGCAGAUAUGACUCACCUUCUCUGCAGGAAAACCUUUUGAUCUAUAUAAAGGAUGUUGGAACAACUGAAGUUGUAUUUGGUUGGCAUAAUUUGAAUGCUUGGAAUAAUUUGAAUAAGUGGCUAAAACUGGGAUAUAAAAUUAUCAUUAAAUAUUAUUUAGAUUAUACAGAAGAAAAAUAUUUUGAAAGCAUAUCCCCAAAUACUACGGAAAAAAGAAUUACCCAGUUGUUUCCUGGCCAUACUUACAGAUUUUUACUCUUUGCAAUAAAUGAAUGGGAGGCAAAAACUGUGUUAAGUUCAGUGUUCAUUGUUGAAACACGCCCGUUAUCAGCUCAAAAUAUCACAGUUACUCAUGUGACCCCAACAGAAAUAUUUUUACACUGGAAUCCUCCAGAUCUUGCAUCUUUUCACCAUUAUCUUGUGACUAUUUUGAAUGUGGAAAACAAUAAAUCAAAAGAGAUGUUUGUUGAAAAACUCAACACAUCAGUGAAAAUCGGAGAUCUCAAACCUUUCCAUCAUUAUCUGAUAUAUUUAUUCAGUGUAGGGGAAAGAGGAACUUUAGGAUGCUCUGAGAGACCUAUUUCAGCCGUUACAGGUAAGCAUGGGCCAAUUUUGCCUUUUAAUAGAAAAUAUAAACUUCAUAUUUUGAAAUUUAUUUGGUGAAAUUUAAUUAUGUUGAUCCUUCAUUGGUAUGAAUACAGUUAAACAUUUGAGUGUUGAAUCAAAAUUAAGCAUAGAUUCUAAAUACUAAAUUCGUUUAGAUUUACAUGGACUCUUUAAACAUCUGCGUUGUUCCUACCAGAGUUCCUAGAAGACAUAUUUCUUAUAAUAGCCUUGGCUCGGAAAUAAGUUAUCACGAAACAUGAAGAUUAGUUCAUCCAGUUCUUUUUAACACACUAGAUCCAACAAGUAAGGUCUGCAGAUUUAUUCAGUUUUACUCCAUUCUUGAUUUUCUCACACAGUGUGAUGAGUAGACCCCUAGGGGGCAG